rnacentral:snoRNA from 1 species
UACAGAUAAAGCGCUCACGCGCUCGAUCUGUCUAGUUAAUAGUCUUAUGAACUAGACUUGCUACUAGCUCAGGCUACAAAAUCGAAGGUACUUACUGAUUGGUGAAUACGUCAUCCUCACUAGUAUUGGCAAUGUUGAAUAUCGUCCUCUAUCUAUACAACAGGCCCGAUCUAUCUAGUUAAUACGCGCAUA